rnacentral:tRNA from 1 species
UAUGUUGUUGACUAAGAGGUAAGUCAUAAAUUUGUAUUUAGCUAUGAGUGUUCGAAUCGCUCCAACAUAA